GGUUGGUCAGAUAUGAGAUGAUGUGUUGAUCUAAACUAGAUUAGUCAUCUACGUAGUUGUAUGUGACUAUUAGAAGAGAUCUGAACCUAAAUCUUCUCACUAAAUAUUAAGUCUAUUGGAAUUUCACCAUUGUAGAGAUGCGAGUGCCUUUUCAAUAUUGAUCGUUCUUGACUGGUUGUAGUGGUUUGGUUGCAUCGAAAAGGUAUAACCAUUCUAUUGACAUUAGAUGCCCCAGGAUAAAGAUGGGAUUGAGCCCAAUAACUGUUAGGUGAGGGACCUAAUAAUGACUUUGUACUCGCUGGUGAAUGAUGGGUCAGACUAAACUAAAAAAUGUGCCAAUAACUAUUAGGUGAAGCCACAGAACUUAGAGA
rnacentral:lncRNA from 1 species